GACGUAGGGGGCGAGCGUUAUUCGGAAUCAUUGGGCGUAAAGAGUUCGUAGGUGGUUUGAAAAGUCGGUGAAGAAAGACCUGGGCUCAACUCAGGGAACGGCACCGAUACUUUUGAACUUGAGGCAAUCAGAGGGUAAUGGAAUUCCUGGUGUAGCGGUGAAAUGCGUAGAUAUCAGGAGGAACAUCAGUGGCGAAGGCGAUUACCUGGGGUUGAUCUGACACUGAGGAACGAAAGCGUGGGGAGCAAACAGG
rnacentral:rRNA from 1 species